UACGUAGGGUGCAAGCGUUGUCCGGAAUUAUUGGGCGUAAAGAGCUCGUAGGCGGUCUGUCGCGUCGGCUGUGAAAACCCAGGGCUCAACCCUGGGCCUGCAGUCGAUACGGGCAGACUAGAGUCCGGCAGGGGAGACUGGAAUUCCUGGUGUAGCGGUGAAAUGCGCAGAUAUCAGGAGGAACACCGAUGGCGAAGGCGGGUCUCUGGGCCGGAACUGACGCUGAGGAGCGAAAGCGUGGGGAGCGAACAGG
rnacentral:rRNA from 1 species